rnacentral:rRNA from 1 species
GACGAACGCUGGCGGCGUGCUUAACACAUGCAAGUCGAACGGAAAGGCCCUGCUUUUGUGGGGUGCUCGAGUGGCGAACGGGUGAGUAACACGUGAGUAACCUGCCCUUGACUUUGGGAUAACUUCAGGAAACUGGGGCUAAUACCGGAUAGGAGCUCCUGCUGCAUGGUGGGGGGUGGAAAGUUUCGGCGGUUGGGGAUGGACUCGCGGCUUAUCAGCUUGUUGGUGGGGUAGUGGCUUACCAAGGCCUUGACGGGUAGCCGGCCUGAGAGGGUGACCGGCCACACUGGGACUGAGAUACGGCCCAGACUCCUACGGGAGGCAGCAGUGGGGAAUAUUGCACAAUGGGCGGAAGCCUGAUGCAGCAACGCCGCGUGCGGGAUGACGGCCUUCGGGUUGUAAACCGCUUUCGCCUGUGACGAAGCGAGAGUGACGGUAAUGGGUAAAGAAGCACCGGCUAACUACGUG